rnacentral:lncRNA from 1 species
AAUGGGCGGGUGUGGAAGUAGUGCUCUAUCGGCCUAUCUAUAUGUCUGUGUGUGUCUUUCUAUGCCAAUGUUAGCCUUCGAUAUUGAUGGAAGAUCCAGCCAAUAUGAGAGAUGGGCCGUCUACCUGCCAGAAUACCUCUAAUGACUGCCUUGACUACACUUCACUGACCCUGUCCCUCCCACCCCUCCCAGAGAGGGGUGACGAGGAGGAAGAAAGGGGGAGUGUGUAUGGAUUAGCAACACUCACAUCCAAGGAACAGAGCUCUGGGAGGGAGUCAGAGGAGUGGAGCCAAUGGCAGGGGGAGUUCAGAGGUCAAAUCCGAGCCCUACGACACUGGCUGAAGAGCAUGGAGAUGAGGCUACCUCCUCUGGACCAUAUGGUCAGUUGGGUUGUUGAGUUGUUAGGUUCCUUAC